rnacentral:rRNA from 1 species
AUUGAACGCUGGCGGCAUGCUUUACACAUGCAAGUCGAACGGUAACAGGCCGCAAGGUGCUGACGAGUGGCGAACGGGUGAGUAAUGCAUCGGAACGUGCCCAGUCGUGGGGGAUAACGCAGCGAAAGCUGCGCUAAUACCGCAUACGAUCUCUGGAUGAAAGCGGGGGACCGAAAGGCCUCGCGCGAUUGGAGCGGCCGAUGUCAGAUUAGGUAGUUGGUGGGGUAAAGGCCCACCAAGCCAACGAUCUGUAGCUGGUCUGAGAGGACGACCAGCCAACCUGGGACUGAGACACGGCCCAGACUCCUACGGGAGGCAGCAGUGGGGAAUUUUGGACAAUGGGCGCAAGCCUGAUCCAGCAAUGCCGCGUGCAGGAAGAAGGCCUUCGGGUUGUAAACUGCUUUUGUACGGAACGAAACGGCUCUGGUUAAUACCUGGGGCUAAUGACGGUACCAUAAGAAUAAGCACCGGCUAACUACGUGCCAGCAGCCGCCGUAACAC